UACAGAGGUCCCAAGCGUUGUUCGGAUUCACUGGGCGUAAAGGGUGCGUAGGCGGCCGGGUAAGUCUGAUGUGAAAUCCCGCAGCUCAACUGCGGAACUGCAUCGGAUACUCUCCGGCUAGAGGAAUGGAGGGGAGACUGGAAUUCUCGGUGUAGCAGUGAAAUGCGUAGAUAUCGAGAGGAACACCAGUAGCGAAGGCGACACUCUGGGCCGGUACUGACGCUGAGGAGCGAAAGCGUGGGGAGCAAACAGG
rnacentral:rRNA from 1 species